UCACGGAUCCGAGAGACUGGAGGCCGAUCUUGCCGGUGAGGAGACGGUGGCGGCGCCGACGAGCCGCCCCCCUUGGCACUGUUGCCGCUGGGCACCGAGACAAAGGAGUGGUGGAUGCCAACGCCUCGAGGCCUGCCUCAAGUACAGAUCAUCAGCGGCAAAUAUUCAAUCAACAUACGACCACUGAGGGGAUCCAUCGGUGGUAUUCCUAUUGCUCUCGUAGUCUCUACAUUUCAUCCUUUUUUGGAUUUUGCAAUCUUUUCAAAUAAGAGAUGGGCAACAAUGCUUUUUCUCCAUGCUAGCAAUAUGAAUGAUGAAGGAGAAGAGCAACGAACACAAAUCUUCCCCACG
rnacentral:lncRNA from 1 species